UCCCUGUUGGGUUCUCUCUAGGUAACUGUAAUGCAAAUAGUAAGUUCUUACUUGAAACUAAAAGCAUUUACUAUAAACUGUUUUUUCCUUCAAUAGCAACACAAAAGCAGCAACUUGGACUGAACCAUGUUUUCUGUUUCAAGUGAGAUUUGUUCCAUACUUUUUCCCCAGGAAAACAGCUUUGAUUAAUAUUUCAAGCAUUUUAGAACACUAAAAGCCAAACAACAGGAUAGAAAAGCUGAUUAUGCAGAAAUGAAAACCAAGCUACAUCUAAAGGUCAGAAGGCAAAUAUGCCUAUGUCAAGCACUACAUGCCUUUUGGUUCUUGAACCUGGCAGCUGGAGGAAAAUCAACAUUGCACAAAAACCAAUAAUCCUUGUAACAAAUCCUCUGUUUACUGGAAAACUCUUAUGUAAGUGUUAACAGGUCAGGUGAAAUCCUACAUACUGUACACUUCUGCUUAGCACCAUUCUAAGAGGCAUAAGACAACACUAGUGGACAACAAUGGGAUUUUUUCAAUGUAAAGGCACUUUUGUUUGGUCGGUGUAAAUGGUUCCUACCAGACAAAUGCCACGAUUAUGAUUAUUUCUACAAACAACACUCAGUAAAGAGACCAGGAGAUCAACUGGACCCUGGAAAUCAUGCCUUUUUUUCUUAUGCUUUUAGGAAGACAGAAGUCUAACUGCUAUAUGUGCAUCUUUGACUGACCAUCUGUAACUGUCUCCAAAUUUACUGAUUCAGGAUGAUAUAUAUGCAUAUGAAUACUGUUUAUGUAAAGAGAAGUUUCUUAUAUGUGUGCUUAAACCACUAGGUACAAAUGAAUGGCAACCAACUUGCAUUCUACAAAUAAAAUUAAAAACCCUAUACACUUGCUAACCUUGUAGAGUUCAGUUAUUUUCUCUAAAUAGCACGAAGUACCUUUUUAUUUUAGGUGAAGCAUAGAUAUUCUCUGCCCAGAAAACCUUAAACAAAAGACAGAUAUGAAUGACAGAUCAAGAGAGUUUCAGUUUGUAGAGGCAGCUCAGAAUGGAGUAAUAACCAUGAUUCACAAAACGUGUCACCCAGGUAUUCUCAUCUGCUUUCUAGACACUGCCUCAUCUUGAUGUUUUAAGUUACAAGAACUAUAAGAUUGACUUUGUUUCUUACAGGAGCAGAAAAGAUGUACAACUAAGCCUGCUAUACCAUAUUUCUGUUACCAACUCCUGAUGGAGAGGCCCAGGGCUAUCUGGUUGUGGACUUUAAGUGACGGUUCAAGAUUGUAGUAGUGCUGAAAACUAAGAUUUAAGAUUUUUGAAUUAAGAAGUUGAUUUGGAGUCCUCAGGAAGAGGAAUGCCCAAGAGGAUUUGUCAUCUGAGCUGGAAAAAUGUGCACAGGAGCCCGCUGCUCUUCUGAACCCACCACCUGCCUCCUUACUGCUGAUUUUGCAAGGUUUAACGUGUACUUGGUGCACUUGGAAGCAGAAUUUGAACUCCUCUGGGUUUUUGGUGGUCUCUGAAGAAAUGCUUCCUAUUUGUGAAAGUGGGACACUAGAGGAACAAGGAGCACCAGAAAAUAAAGCAAAAAGACUUCAACAAUUUAGUGACAGCUUCAAGACCUGGGCAACAUUUAAAGGAGCCAGAUGAAUUAGAAGAUUGUAAAAGUAUCUCUGCUCUCUCUGAAGCCGGUGAUGGUGUUGAAGGAGGUUAUCUGGUGCUGUCAUUAUUAAGAGGGGCAAUAUCUCACUGCAAAAGAGGUGCUGAAGGUAGUGAUUGUCCCCGGGGUAGGAGGAAAGGGAAGGCGUGCGUGUUUGCAGCCCGGUGCUGAGGCGCACACACCGCUGACAGGUGCGGUGUGAACGUGACACUUACUUGGAAACAAAAGUGAGACAUUGGUGGAAAGUGAAAAUGGAAAACGUUCCAGAUGCCAGGUGGAAAAUGAUAUUAAAGCUGUCAAAAUAAGUCACAACAAAGACUGGGUUUUCUUCUAGACUAACAGGAGUCAUGUUCUGGAGAAGAAUGGAGGUUUCAACUACAAGGUGAAGUGUCAUAAAUGAAACAAUUAUGAGCAUUGGAGGUUAAAUAUGAACCUAUUUGUUUUGGGGUUUUAUGCUUUGGUCUCUUUAUUUUUCCUUUUUCUCUUUCAAGUGCACUGCAGCAUUCCUGAUUUACUCUGCAGUUUGUGGACAGGUCAAAAAUGUGUAAAUAAAUCCUACUGUCACUGCUUCACAUAGUUAUCUAUUCUGGGCCUAAUUCCAAGCCCUGUUAAGUUGAUGGCAAUCCUUCCAUUGGCAUCAGAGGACUGAAGUUUAGAACCUGUGAUGGAGGUGCAAAGCAUCAUUAGAGAGGAUGGAUAAACAGCCUCUGCAGUCAUCCAAAGUGAGUUUCUGAAACACAGUAAGGGAAGCAAACCUUGAACUGCAUUCAAGGUCAAAUAUGCUUUAUGUAUGUGGUAAAAUGGAGCUUUUAAAAAAGGCAGCUCCACCUAGCAUGCAUUAAAUAUCUUAAAUAUUAUAAAAGACAUUAUUCAGAUUUAAGACUGACAAUCUGAACAGAUAACCCAGUAUUUUACUUUAAAAAAUCAGCUGCACUGUUUAUACUUGGGUGGAAAGCCACAGAUCAGAAUAAAGUUUGCUGUGUUUCUUUAGUGCAGCCAAGGAAAUUUAUUCUGCUGAUUGAGGAUUUUACUUGUCCAUGUAUUUACUUUCAUGCACUGGUAGAUUCUUAUCAGCAACUUAUCUGCAAUUUUGUGGCUGAAUUUUGUUUCUUUAUGUGAUGUUACUUAAGCACAAGAAAAUGUGCCUACAUUAAAUUCCUUAUGCUCCUUAUGAAAUA